ensembl:lincRNA
GGAAAGUUCUCAGCAGGUUUAGACCUCCUAGCCAAAAAGCCAAAGCCACUUCUGGGAUUUUUUUUCAAAGAGCCAGUGGUUCCACAAUGGGCCAUGGGUAGUUGUGGAAAUGGAGAGAAGUGUUUGCAGAUACAUAUUUGAGACAGAACGGACAGGGCUCGGUCACAGGUCAUGAAGGACACGAGCAGAUGCACAUUGAGAAAACCCUCCCAGCAUCCUAGGUGAACAGAGGUAUGAUUUUUUGAGAUGGUCAAGGGAGAUGCAACCCCAGAUUUUAGGGUUGGAUCUUUAUUAAUAUGUAGUAUCUAUGAGGUAUCCAAGUCCAGAAAUCGACUCACCAGUUCUGUACAGCAUUCGGUAGGGAGAUCAAAUCUGGGAUGUCUAAAGUUAAGAAUUCAGGCCAUGGUAAUGGAUUAGAUUAGAUGUACUUGAACUCAUUUUGCAAAGAAAGAGAGGGUGGGAGAUAGCGAGAGCCAGAGAGCGAGUGAGAGAGAGAGAGAGAGACAGACAGACAGACAGAGACACAAAGAUACACAAAGAGAGAAAGACAGAAAGAGAGACAGACAGACAGAUAAAGACACAGAGAAAGAGAGAGAUGGACAGAGACAGAGAAAAACAGAAAGAGAGACAGAGACAGAAGGAGAGAGAGACAGACAGAGAGAGACAGACAGGCAGACAGACAGGCAGAGAAAGAGAGUAAGACAGAUGGCAGACACACAGAGAGAGAGACAGAGACAGAUGGAGAGACAGAGAGAAAGAAAGAGAGAGACAGACAGAGGGAAAGAGACAGAGAGAAAGAGUCAGACAGAGGGAGAGAGAGAAUCAGACAGAGAGAGAGACAGACAGAGACAGAGAGAGAAACAGAUGAGGGAGAGACAGACAGGCAGAGAAAGAAAGAGAGAGAGACAGAGAUACAGGCAGACAGACAGUCAGAGAAAGAGAGUAAGACAGAUGGCAGACACACACACACAGAGAGAGACAGAGACAGAUGGAGAGACAGAGAGAAAGAAAGAGAGAGACAGACAGAGGGAAAGAGACAGAGAGAGAAAGAGACAGACAGAGGGAGAGAGAGAACCAGACGGAAAGAGAGAGAGAAAGACAGAGAUAGAAAGAGACAGACAGAGGGAGAGAGAGAACCAGACGGAAAGAGAGAGAGAAAGACAGAGACAGAGAGAGACAGACAGACAGGCAGAGAAAGACAGUAAGACAGAAGACAGACAAAGAGAGAGAGAGACAGGCAGAGAGAGAGACAGAGACAGAGAGACAGAGACAGAGAAACAGACAGGCAAAGAGAGAGAGAGAAAAAAACAGACAGGGAGAGAGAGACAGGCAGACAAAGCGAAUAAGACAGAAGACAGACACAGUGAGAGAGACAGAGAGAGAGACAGAGACAGCGAGACAGAGAAAGAAAGAGAGAUACAGACAGACAGACAGACAAAGAGACAGACAGAAAGAAAGAAAGAAUCAGUACAGCGACCGUGGUCGUGAAUCAUUCCCCGGAGUCCAGGCGCAGUGGCUCACGCCCGUCACGCCAGCACUUUGAGACGCCGGGCAGGAGGGUUGCAACGAAAUGAUGAGACCCCGUCUGUGGGAAAACAUUUAAAAAUGAAGGCCGGGCGCGGUGGCUCACGCCUGUCAUCCCAGCAGUUCCGGAGGCCGGGGAGGGCGGAUCACCUGAGGUCGGGAGUUCGAGACCAGCCCGAUCGACAUGGAGAAGCCCCGUCUCCACUAAAAAUACAAAAUCAGCCAGACGUGGCAGCGCACGCCCGCAAUCCCGGCUACUCAGGAGGCCGAUGCAGGAGAAUCGCUUGAAACCGGGAGGCAGAGGUUGCGGCGAGCCAAGAUCGCGCCACCGCACUGCAGUCUAGGCCACCAGAGCGAAACUCUGUCUCAGGAAAAGAAAAAAAAAAAAAAUUAAAAAUGGUCUGGGCACAGUGGCGCAUGCCUGUUGUUCCAGGUACUGUACUCUGGAGGCUGAGGUGGAAGGAUCACUGGAGUCCAGGAGCGUCCACGCUGCAGUGAAUGAGUUAUGAUGGCACCACUGCCAGGGUGACAGAGUUAGAUGCUGUGUCUAAAUCAGUCAAUCAGAUCACUGGAAGGCACUUUCUGUGUCUUACUUUCAAAGGGUGUCCCUUUAGGCCAAGCAAGCAGGGUGCCUCAUGCCAGUCAUCCCAGCACUUUGGCAGGCCAAGGCAGGAUGAAAGAAGGAAGGGAGGAAGGGAGGAAAGAAGAAAGGCAGGAUGGCAGUAAGGCAGGAAAGAAGAAAGAAGGAAGGAAGGAAAGAAAGAAAGAAAGAAAGAAAGAAAGAAAGAAAGAAAGAGAGAGAGAAAGAAAGAAAGAAAGAGAGAAAAAGAAAGAAGAGAGAAAGAAAGAAGAAAGAAACAAAAGGAAGGAAGAAAGAAAGAAAGAAAGAAAGAAAGAAAGAAAGAAAGAAAGAAAGAAAGAAAAAGAAAAGAGAAGAAAAAAGAAGAAAAGAGAAGGGAAGAGAAAAAAAGAAAAUGGGGCGAGGGCAUAUCUCCUUGACUGGUGAUGGCCCAGGAUACAGUGGAUCACAGCUGACUGAAGCCUCGACCUGUGGGGCCACAAGUGAUCUUCUCCUUAUCUCAACCUCCCGAGUAGCUGUGACUACAGAUGGCCAUCACCACGCGCAACUCAUCUUAUAAUGAUAUUAAGAUUCUAUUGGGACAGGGUCUCGCUCCGUCAUCCAGGCUGGAUCGCCACGGCACGAUCUCAGCUCAUCGCAACCUCGGCCUCCCCGGUUGGAACAACUCGCCCGCCCCAGUCUCCCGAGCGGUCGUGAUUCCAAGCCCACGCCACCAGGCCCGGCUAAUCGUUCUAUUUUUUCAGAGAGACGGGGUUUCGCCACGUCGGCCAGCCUGGUCUCGAACUCCCGGCCCCAAGCGAUCCACCGGCCUCGGCCUCCCAAAGUGCCGGAAUGACAGGCGUGAGCUAGCGUGCCCGGCCCAGAUCAUCUUUUUCAUCCAUUGUAGAGAAGGGGUUUCGUCAGCCAACGGGUGGAAGGUGGGGUGGGUUUUACUCAGCCUGCGUACUGUGAAAAGGUUAAGUGAGUGUGCUUUGUGAACUAGAUAUGGAAAUGUGUGUGUGUGUGUGUGUGUGUGUGUGUGUGUGUGUGUGUAGGAGAGAGAGAGAGAGACCAAUCCCACCACGAGGACCCGGAAAUAGUGUUUGAUCUGUGUCCCUGCCUAGUCACCUGUCUUGUGUGUAGACGACUGAGGAUUCCACAAAUGAAGGUCAGCAGUAUCUAUUGAGCUGUUUCUCCCUCUCACGCGUCUCAUCUGUGUGCUGGAGAAAGGGAAGAGAAGAGGUUCCGAUGGGAAGUUGUCUUCACGCCUGAGGCAGCUGAAGGCAGACCGAAGGGAAGGAGGGCAUCCUACGUGACAUUUCCAUACCCACGCACCCUUUACAAUGCUGGGGCCGCCAGUCCACCCCGUACGUCAGCCCACCCCCAAGAACAGCACGGUCCGGGGUGGUCCAGUCUCAUCCCAACCGGCCCACCCGGGGCAUCCGGUGGAAGUCUUCGCCGGAGGAUCCAAGGGCAGCGUCAACGCGGUUCCCCUGGGGUCGCCCGGCAAAGGCCAGCCGGGGGAGGGUAGCGGGACGUGACGGGGGCAUCCGCCUCAGAGCUCCCUGGAAGGUGGCAGGUAGCCGGUGGGGCACGCCGAGCCAGAGACGUCCGGCAGGAUAUAGAUGCGGAAGGCGUGUCAGUCCUCUCCCUAUACCUCUCCUGUGGAAAAUGCCAGGGCGGCGGUGGGAGCCUCGGCUGGGGGAGAAGCGGGGACAAGGGGGAGAGGGAAGGAGGCCCUCGGGAGGUUUCGGCACCGAAAACCCACUCAGCCAAGCUCCCUCCGUGUUUCCGCGUCCAAGGUACACCCCGGGAGACGGCAAGAGAAACGUUCACACCGUGCUUUCCGUCUUCGUGUUUAUCUCUUUCAUCUUUUCCAUUUUACGAGAGAUGCUCAUUUCAACAAGCAGACGGCGGAUGUGACGGGAGAAGUGUCAAGGCCAGGAGUUUGAGACCAGCGUGAGCAACAGAGCAACACAAGUAGGAGAGCCCAGCUGAAAGAAAUGAAAGAGGAGGAGGAGGAGGACAUGGGAGGCUGGGGGUGGGGGUAGGGGGGAGGAGAAGGAAAGAAAGAAAAGAAAAGAAAAGAAAAGAAAAGAAAAAGAAAAACAACCACCAAGAAAGUUAAAAUUCUCCAAUGGUCAGAAGUUCAAGACCAGCCUGACCAAGAUGGAGAAACCCCAUCUGUAC